ACGCUCGACACCUACGGGGGGCAGCAGUGGGGAAUAUUGCACAAUGGGGGAAACCCUGAUGCAGCGACGCCGCGUGAGCGAAGAAGUAUUUCGGUAUGUAAAGCUCUAUCAGCAGGGAAGAAACUGACGGUACCUGACUAAGAAGCACCGGCUAAAUACGUGCCGGCAGCCGCGGUAAUCUGAGCGGGCUGGCAAGGC
rnacentral:rRNA from 1 species